rnacentral:rRNA from 1 species
UUGCAAAUUCAGUGAAUCAUCGAGUCUUUGAACGCACAUUGCGCCCCCUGGUAUUCCGGGGGGCA